GUUAGCAGAGUUGAACAGGGCGUUUCGUAUUACAAACGAGCUGAUCCACAAGGAGAACACUGACGCACCAACUAACAGAGCUUCAGGGUAGUAAGGGAAAAGCUGCCAGACCUGGAAGAACCAGGGAAAAGCUGCCAGACCUGGAAGAACCACUCGAAAAUGUUUUCAAUAAUUUACACAACAGUUUGAAGAGAAAAUCGGCAACAGUGUGGAGAAUUUGCACAAUACUUCCAACAAAUCGGGAUGGAAGCUUUGACUUAACUGUGUCUGCUGUCCUCUUCAUUCGGCUGAGUUCGUCCUAAGUCACACCGACCUGCAUUUCAUGAGCGACUAGACCACUAGUCAUACAACAAUACCAACCUCCUUUGGAUCCUGGCCAGGGCUGUGUGGAUUCUCUCCCUGUACCGCUUGCACUUCUCCUUGGUGAUGUUGACGUGGAUCAAGCUCCCAUCCUUCCAGGGGACGUGGAUGAAUCUGUUGCAGUAUUUGGCAUGGAUAGUCUUCUUAUUGGUGUCCUGAGGGAAGGACAAAGUUGGGGGCUAGAGCGGGUCCUUAGAAACUCCCUUUGCUAAAACCAAAUAAAGACGACGCCUUGCUUGGGCUCCCAAGGUAACUAAAAACGGAAUAAAAUCUGCACAUCUCUGCC